UUUGACAUUGCAAGAGCCAACGAUAUCUGAAUUUGAGUGUUCUAAUAUUGCACAAGAAUAAGUCUCAAAGAAUGAAGUUGGUUAUAGUACAGUAGAGAAAUUUCUUCAUAGCAACGACCACUAGCAGUGACCAGCCAGGGAUAAUGGUAGAAGGAUACAAAUGCUUAUAAGUAACCAAUGGAGACUUGUGUUGCCUCAAA